rnacentral:rRNA from 1 species
AUUGAACGCUGGCGGCAGGCCUCACACAUGCAAGUCGAGCGAGCGGCGGACGGGUGAGUAAUGUAUGGGGACUGCCCGAUAGAGGGGGAUAACUACUGGAAACGGGGGCUAAUACCGCAUACAAACGGAUAACCCAUAUGGGAUUAGCUAGUAGGUGGGGUAAAGGCUCACCUAGGCGACGAUCUCUAGCUGUUCUUAGAGGAGGAUCAGCCAAACGGGGACUGAGAAACGGCCCAGACGCCUACGGAGGCAGCAGUGGGGAAUAUUGCACAAUGGGCGAAAGCCUUAUGCAGCCAUGCCGCGUGUAUGAAGAAGGCCUUAGGAUUGUAAAGUACUUUCAGCGGGGAGGCGUUACCCAAAGAAAAAGCACCGGCUAACUCCGUGCCAGCAGCCGCGGUAAUAC